GACAGAGGGUGCAAACGUUGUUCGGAAUUACUGGGCGUAAAGCGUGUGUAGGCGGCUUUGCAAGUCGGAUGUGAAAGCCCCGGGCUCAACCCGGGAAGUGCACUCGAUACUGCAGGGCUUGAGUGUCGGAGAGGUUGGUGGAAUUCUCGGUGUAGAGGUGAAAUUCGUAGAUAUCGAGAGGAACACCGGCGGCGAAGGCGGCCAACUGGACGACUACUGACGCUGAGACACGAAAGCGUGGGGAGCAAACAGG
rnacentral:rRNA from 1 species